rnacentral:lncRNA from 1 species
AACUGAAUGUAAUCGAAUCAAAUUGCAAGCAUGAACAUGGUUUCGAAUUACCCCCCUAACCAAGGGGGGUUUAGUUCCUCAUACUUGCAAAGCAAAGAUACAUAAAUUUAGAAAUUAAAAUCCAAAGAAAGAAAACACCUAGAACGCUCCAACUUGGCAGCAAGCUCAUCAACGAAUUCUCCUUCCUCCUUGCUGCGGCAGAGAACUUUAGAACAGGUUUUUAGGGUUAUUUGAGGUGUAGAAUGGAUGGGGAAUGGUAUGGAAAGGUUUAGGGUUGAUGGGGGUACGGCUAGGGAUGAUUUUGGGCAGAAUUUUGGGACUUUGGUGUUGGAAAGGUGCGGCAGAAAUCAAGGGCAGAUUUCUGGCGUGAAUGAUUGUGUAUGGGAGAUGAUAUUCUGAUCUAGGGGUUAUAAAUGAGUAUAUAUAGGCAUCCAAAACCCUAGGGUAAAUCAGAUUAGGGUUUCUAGAAGCCCAAAUCCACUAAGAAAUUAGGUUAAAACAAUCAGAUUUUUAGUGGGAAUAAGGCCUAAGGUGCGGCUAGGGUUAGGGUUUAGAGAUGGGCCUUCUAGAACGCCUUGCAAGGCAAGGAAAUCAGAUAUUCUAGAGGCCUAGGUGCGGCUAGGG